rnacentral:rRNA from 1 species
GAACGCUGGCGGCGUGCCUAAUACAUGCAAGUCGAGCGGACAGAUGGGAGCUUGCUCCCUGAUGUUAGCGGCGGACGGGUGAGUAACACGUGGGUAACCUGCCUGUAAGACUGGGAUAACUCCGGGAAACCGGGGCUAAUACCGGAUGCUUGUUUGAACCGCAUGGUUCAAACAUAAAAGGUGGCUUCGGCUACCACUUACAGAUGGACCCGCGGCGCAUUAGCUAGUUGGUGAGGUAACGGCUCACCAAGGCAACGAUGCGUAGCCGACCUGAGAGGGUGAUCGGCCACACUGGGACUGAGACACGGCCCAGACUCCUACGGGAGGCAGCAGUAGGGAAUCUUCCGCAAUGGACGAAAGUCUGACGGAGCAACGCCGCGUGAGUGAUGAAGGUUUUCGGAUCGUAAAGCUCUGUUGUUAGGGAAGAACAAGUACCGUUCGAAUAGGGCGGUACCUUGACGGUACCUAACCAGAAAGCCACGGCUAACUACGUGCCAGCAGCCGCGGUAAUACGUAGGUGGCAAGCGUUGUCCGGAAUUAUUGGGCGUAAAGGGCUCGCAGGCGGUUUCUUAAGUCUGAUGUGAAAGCCCCCGGCUCAACCGGGGAGGGUCAUUGGAAACUGGGGAACUUGAGUGCAGAAGAGGAGAGUGGAAUUCCACGUGUAGCGGUGAAAUGCGUAGAGAUGUGGAGGAACACCAGUGGCGAAGGCGACUCUCUGGUCUGUAACUGACGCUGAGGAGCGAAAGCGUGGGGAGCGAACAGGAUUAGAUACCCUGGUAGUCCACGCCGUAAACGAUGAGUGCU